rnacentral:rRNA from 1 species
UACGUAGGGUGCAAGCGUUAAUCGGAAUUACUGGGCGUAAAGCGUGCGCAGGCGGUGAUGUAAGACAGUUGUGAAAUCCCCGGGCUUAACCUGGGAACUGCAUUUGUGACUGCAUGGCUAGAGUGUGUCAGAGGGGGGUAGAAUUCCACGUGUAGCAGUGAAAUGCGUAGAUAUGUGGAGGAAUACCGAUGGCGAAGGCAGCCCCCUGGGAUAACACUGACGCUCAUGCACGAAAGCGUGGGGAGCAAACAGG